ACAGUUCCUCCUCCGCCCUGGUCCCUGCCGACAAAGACCAAGCCAGCUGCAGGCAAUCACCAGGCAACCGGCUUCUAACCCGGCCUCCAGAACCCAACUUCCCUCCACCUGGUUGGAGCACAGGAUUUUAGCUUUUCUUAGUAUCACUUUAUCAGCUGGCCAGCCAUGACCUGAGAAUAUGUGUCUCUUUCAGAAACAUGUCCGACCAAAGUAAUCAGUUAAUGAAGUAACUUGGAAACCCAGACCAUGCAAAAGAGACGUGUAAAAUGUGAAGGACAGAGUCAGUCAGCACUUGGGAAACAUUCGACAAUGCACACCUGGUUUCCUAAGGUUUAAAAUGUAUAAUCAAAUGACACGUAAGUUCUGAGAUAUCAUGGCCCCGAAUGAGAAUUUACAAGAGGCUAUCAAAAAAACGAAUGAUGUGGUGCAGCAGGGAGGCUGUGGAAUCAGGCAGAACUGGAUUCCAAUCUGUUUCUGUGCUUUGCUGUGCAACCUGGAACAAAUGGCACGUCCUCACUAACCCUCAGUGCUCUCAUCUCUAAGGUGGGAAUCACAAGAGUCAUCCCCCAAUUCAGUGGGUCGGUGUGGGGAUUCAAAUUAGGAAAUGUAUGUAAAACACUCGACUCACCACAGUUUCUAGGUCAUAAUAAGCACUUCCUAAAUGAAAACUACUAAGCACUCCUGUCUCACAGAUAAUGUCUUUAAAAAUCGUAAAUUUAAUUUUCAAACUUAGGAAAUAAUGAAGACAUCACUGGGAAAGUAUCUGACUCCCAAACCAGGUAAUGGGGAAACUUGGAAAUCCAGACCACUUGGAACAGAUUUGUUAAAGUGCCAGGGACAGGAAUCCUACCCAAGUGAUGAUCAGUAAACAUUUAUUGAUACUGACCAUGUUUUCUUCAGGUUUAAAAUAAAACAUCUGGAAGGAUUACAGGAUCACUUGGGGUUCUUCCUGAAAUAUUAUGAUAUCAAAGUAAGAAUUCAAAACACCACAACUGGGGGGCACCUGGGUGGCUCAGUUGGUUAAGUGUCUGCC